rnacentral:rRNA from 1 species
AUGAGGGUUUAACUGUCUCUUAUAAUAAGUCUAUUAAACUGAUCUCCUAGUAAAAAAGCUAGAAUAUCCCCAUAAGACCAGAAGACCCUGUGAAGCUUAAACUAUACUAUUAAACCCAAUAAUAACUACUUUCGGUUGGGGCGACCUUGGAAACAAAAACAACUUCCAAUAUACGUGAUACACCACACCCACUAGGCCUACAAGCCAAUUAAUGACCCAGUACUACUGAUAAUAGAACAAAGUUACUCCAGGGAUAACAGCGCUAUCUUCUUCAAGAGCCCAUAUCAAAAAGAAGGUUUACCACCUCGAUGUUGGAUCAGGACAUCCUAAUGGUGCAGCCGCUAUUAAAGGUUCGUUUGUUCAACGAUUAAUGUCCUACGUGAUCUGAGUUCAGACCGGAGA